rfam:Segniliparus rotundus DSM 44985, complete genome.
GUCGUCUUUCUUCGCGCGGGAGCUCGACCCGCGACUUCCGAGGUGAUCCGGUUCGUGGACGCGAACCGGGAGCGGUUCGGGGUCGAGCCGGUCUGCCGGGUGCUCAAAGGGCACGGCGUGAAGAUCGCCCCG